AAAAUCCGUUGGCUUCAUAGACCGUGAGG
rnacentral:tRNA from 1 species